UUAAGUUUUGAUUUAGGAUUUGGAUUAGGAUUUGGAUUAAGAUUUAGAAUUUGGUUAGGGUUUGAUUUAGGGUUUGGAUUAGAGUUUGAUUUAGGAUUUGGAUUAGGGUUUGAUUUAGGAUUUGGAUUAGGGUUUGGAUUAGGGUUUAGGAUUUGGUUAGGAUUUAGGAUUGGAUUAGGAUUUGGAUUAGGAUUUAGGGUUUGGUUAGGAUUUGUUUUAGAGUUUGGAUUAGAGUUUGGAUUAGGGUUUAGGGUUUGGUUAAGAUUUAGGAUUGAAUUAGGGUUUGUGUUAGGAUUUAGGGUUUGGUUAGGAUUUGAUUUAGGGUUUGGAUUAGGGUUUGAAUUAGGGUUUAGGAUUUGAUUAGGAUUUGAUUUAGGAUUUAGAUUAGAGUUUCGUUAGGAUUUGAUUUAAGAUUUGGUUUAGGAUUUAGGAUUUGGAUUAGGAUUUAGGAUUGGAUUAGAGUUUGAAUUAAAAUUUAAGGUUUGGUUUAGAGUUUGAUUUAGGGUUUAGGAUUUGAAAUAGGAUUUGAUUUAGGGUUUAAUUUAAGGUUUGUUUAGGAUUUGACUUAGGGUUUAGGAUUUAUUAGUAUUUAAGAUUUAAUUAAGUUUGGUCUAAAGUUUGAGUGAAAUUCAAUAGGAUUUUAACUAGAAUUAAAUUAAGGUUGAAUUGACAUAUAUUUGAGUAAUAUUUGUGAUCAUUCUAAUAUUUCUUUAAGAA
rnacentral:lncRNA from 1 species